GCAGCAGUGGGGAAUAUUGGACAAUGGGCGAAAGCCUGAUCCAGCCAUGCCGCGUGUGUGAAGAAGGUCUUCGGAUUGUAAAGCACUUUAAGUUGGGAGGAAGGGCAGUAAGUUAAUACCUUGCUGUUUUGACGUUACCGACAGAAUAAGCACCGGCUAACUUCGUGCCAGCAGCCGCGGUAAUACGAAGGGUGCAAGCGUUAAUCGGAAUUACUGGGCGUAAAGCGCGCGUAGGUGGUUUGUUAAGUUGGAAGUGAAAGCCCCGGGCUCAACCUGGGAACUGCUUUCAAAACUGGCAAGCUAGAGUAUGGCAGAGGGUGGUGGAAUUUCCUGUGUAGCGGUGAAAUGCGUAGAUAUAGGAAGGAACACCAGUGGCGAAGGCGACCACCUGGGCUAAUACUGACACUGAGGUGCGAAAGCGUGGGGAGCAAACUAGGAUUAGAUUACCC
rnacentral:rRNA from 1 species